rnacentral:rRNA from 1 species
UAAGGAAUAUUGCUCAAUGGGAGAAAUCCUGAAGCAGCAACGCCGCGUGGAGGAUGAAGGGCUUUCAGCUUGUAAACUCCUGUAAAGAAGGAAAAAAUUCCCAUUAGAUGGGAAAUGAUGGUACUUCUAAAGUAAGCCCCGGCUAACUACGUGCCAGCAGCCGCGGUAAUACGUAGGGGGCAAGCGUUGUCCGGAUUUACUGGGUGUAAAGGGUGCUCAGGCGGAUUUGUAAGUCAGAGGUGAAAUCUCACAGCUUAACUGUGAAACUGCCUUUGAUACUGCAAGUCUAGAGUAUGGAAGAGAGUGAUUGAAUGGCUGGUGUAGCAGUGAAAUGCGUAGAUAUCAGAUAGAACACCAAUGGCGAAGGCAGUCAACUGGUCCGUUACUGACGCUAAAGCACGAAAGUGUGGGGAGCGAACA